GAUGAACGCUGGCGGCGUGCCUAAUACAUGCAAGUCGAGCGAACAGACGAGGAGCUUGCUCCUCUGACGUUAGCGGCGGACGGGUGAGUAACACGUGGAUAACCUACCUAUAAGACUGGGAUAACUUCGGGAAACCGGAGCUAAUACCGGAUAAUAUAUUGAACCGCAUGGUUCAAUAGUGAAAGACGGUUUUGCUGUCACUUAUAGAUGGAUCCGCGCCGCAUUAGCUAGUUGGUAAGGUAACGGCUUCCAAGGCGACGAUGCGUAGCCGACCUGAGAGGGUGAUCGGCCACACUGGAACUGAGACACGGUCCAGACUCCUACGGGAGGCAGCAGUAGGGAAUCUUCCGCAAUGGGCGAAAGCUUGACGGAGCAACGCCGCGUGAGUGAUGAAGGUCUUCGGAUCGUAAAACUCUGUUAUUAGGGAAGAACAAAUGCGUAAGUAACUAUGCACGUCUUGACGGUACCUAAUCAGAAAGCCACGGCUAACUACGUG
rnacentral:rRNA from 1 species